rnacentral:rRNA from 1 species
AAGCGCUUGCAGCCAGACUUGCCUGUAGUUGCUCAUCCGAGCUCCCGCUCGGUGCACUCUUCUAUGGGCAGGCCAGCAUCAGUCCGGGCGGUCGGAUAAAGGCUUCGGGAAUGUAGCUCCCCUCGGGGAGUGUUAUAGCCCGGAGUGCCAUGCGACCAGCCUGGACUGAGGUCCGCGCAUCUGCUAGGAUGCUGGCGUAAUGGCUGUAAGCGG